rnacentral:tRNA from 1 species
UGCGGAUUAGCCAAGCGGUAAGGCAGCGGACUCUGAAUCCGCCAUUUCGAAGGUUCGAAUCCUUCAUCCGCAGCCA